AGGGAGAUCUGGGUGAGACAUCUGUCACCUCAUUAAUUGCCAGGGUUGAUCUGACCAAUCCAGUUGGUUAGGUAGGUGCCCCCUUCCUCCUU
rnacentral:sRNA from 1 species